ACCGACUAGCACUUCUCAGCAGUCUAUUUUGGCCCUUUUUUAGUGUGCCAGGUAAGGGUGUGCAGCCCUUUAUUCUCAUUGCCUACUGGUCCACUGCUUUCAUUGGUACACGUGGAGGCAGAUGUCAGCUGUUCUUACACUAAAUUGCACCAUCUUUUGCAGUUAGUCUGCCAGUGAAUUUUCAUGCUAUAGCUAAUGGUACAGCAGCUAUUGACAGCUACUGCCAGAAAGCAUGAUCUUGCUCUGCUUUUCUCCUCUCCUCGAGCAGUUACCAAAUCUGAGUCAUGCCUCAAUGUGACUUGAUGCACCAGGCUGACCAAUGGGAAGCUGUACUUUUUUUUUUUCCUCAGGGUUAGUUUUCCACUGGAUCAACCAGUUGAACUGACUCACAUUGCAACUACACUGUCAUUAGGUAUGAUAAACAGGAAGCAGAGGGAGCAAGUGGCUACAGACUGACACGGGUACAAGACUUCCUUCACCCCUUCAGCUGCAUCAUCUUAGCAGCAAUGUCAAAUGGAAAUGACUGUGGUAUGGACUGUUCAUCAAGGCAGUUACUGCUCUGUGUGAACAGAAGGCUUUUAAUGUAUUUGGUUGUCUGUUAGUGUCUAAUUAAUCAGGUUUGGUUUUGCCAUUCUAUAAAUGAAUUUGUAUUGUCAGGGAAGGUCUUAAAAAGUAAUUUACCUGAUACCAUUUAAGGAUGGAAGAUUCAGAUGUUUAUGUUAUAAAACAUCUUCAGAUGCCAAAGUGAUAGCUCUGAUUUAUAGCUUUGCUAUUGGGUUAUGCGGUGCUAGAGUAGUGGAUAUGCUCUUUUGGUCAAAUGAGAAUAAAAAAACACAGUUCAGAGUAAGGAUGGUGGUUCUCAGUGAGUUGCAGCAUUGCCCUUGCAGCACUGGGCAGGUUCCAAGCAUUAACCAGGUUCAGUCUGACUAGUGCAACAUCCCUUGCUGUUUCAGCUGCAUAUUGCUUUUUAACUUCCUAUUCCAAAAUAGAGGUGAAUGUUGCUAUCAGCAUCUAAACAUUAAUUGCUUCCUUUCCCAGCAGCAAGUGCAAUUCACUGGCAGGCCUCGAAGUGUGGAACUCACCCCUGAGACUGAUAGCGCCUCGUUUUUGUGUUAUUUAGGAACAAGAGUCAGCAACCUUAACACCAUCUUAAUGCAAUUUUGUGUGUGUGUGCUGGAAUUUCCCUUGGCUUUUUGGAAUGCUAAGUGAAGUGAACACAUGGACCCAGCCGAAGUGCAGUUGAAGAAAGACUUUUAUUUAAGUAAAUACUGUCAAUUGUAAGUGUUUACAUUUUUACUCAUGAAAUGAAUAAAACAUUUAUAUGCCAAAUGCA
rnacentral:lncRNA from 1 species